UCCCAAGUGGCUCAGAUGGUAAAGCAUCUGCCUGCAAUGCAGAAGACCCGGGUAUGAUCCCAGGGUGGGGAA
rnacentral:tRNA from 1 species